GAUGAACGCUGGCGGCGUGCCUAAUACAUGCAAGUCGAGCGAACAGACGAGGAGCUUGCUCCUCUGAAGUUAGCGGCGGACGGGUGAGUAACACGUGGAUAACCCACCUAUCAGACUGGGCUAACUUCGGGAAACCGGAGCUAAUACCGGAUAAUAUAUUGAACCGCAUGGUUCAAUAGUGAAAGACGGUUUUGCUUUCACUUAUAGAUGGAUCCGCGCCGCAUUAGCUAGUUGGUAAGUUAACGGCUUACCAAGGCAACGAUGCGUAGCCGACCUGAGAGGGUGAUCGGCCACACUGGAACUGAGACACGGUCCAGACUCCUACGGGAGGCAGCAGUAGGGAAUCUUCCGCGAUGGGCGAAAGCCUGAUGGAGGAACGCCGCGUGAGUGAUGAAGGUCUUCGGAUCGUAAAACUCUGUUAUUAGGGAAGAACAAAUGUGUAAGUAACUAUGCCCGUCUUGACGGUACCUAAUCAGAAAGCCACGGCUAACUACGUG
rnacentral:rRNA from 1 species